rnacentral:rRNA from 1 species
UGGGGAAUAUUGGACAAUGGGCGAAAGCCUGAUCCAGCCAUGCCGCGUGUGUGAAGAAGGUCUUCGGAUUGUAAAGCACUUUAAGUUGGGAGGAAGGGCAUUAACCUAAUACGUUAGUGUUUUGACGUUACCAACAGAAUAAGCACCGGCUAACUCUGUGCCAGCAGCCGCGGUAAUACAGAGGGUGCAAGCGUUAAUCGGAAUUACUGGGCGUAAAGCGCGCGUAGGUGGUUUGUUAACUUGGAUGUGAAAUCCCCGGGCUCAACCUGGGAACUGCAUUCAAAACUGACUGACUAGAGUAUGGUAGAGGGUGGUGGAAUUUCCUGUGUAGCGGUGAAAUGCGUAGAUAUAGGAAGGAACACCAGUGGCGAAGGCGACCACCUGGACUAAUACUGACACUGAGGUGCGAAAGCGUGGGGAGCAAACA